rnacentral:rRNA from 1 species
GACGUAGGGCGCGAGCGUUGUCCGGAUUUAUUGGGCGUAAAGAGCUCGUAGGCGGCUUGUCGCGUCGUUCGUGAAAACCCACAGCUCAACUGUGGGCUUGCGGUCGAUACGGGCAGGCUGGAGUUCGGUAGGGGAGACUGGAAUUCUCGGUGUAGCGGUGAAAUGCGUAGAUAUCGAGAGGAACACCUGCGGCGAAGGCGGGUAGCUGGGCCGACACUGACGCUGAGGCGCGAAAGCUAGGGGAGCGAACGGG